rnacentral:sRNA from 2 species
AUGCUCCUAGUUGUGUUAAGUGUUGGCAGAUAUCCGGAUCCCGCCCUAAGGGUCUGGACCUUGAACCCCGAACUUCCCCCCUCCCCAUAUGAAGUCCGGGGUUUUUUUUGCCUGCGA